GGGGAUGUUGCUCAGUGGGAAAAUCUCUGCUUGCCAUGCAGAAGGUCCCAGGUUCAAUCCCUGGCAUCUCCA